rnacentral:rRNA from 1 species
UACAGAGGUCCCAAGCGUUGUUCGGAUUCACUGGGCGUAAAGGGUGCGCAGGUGGGCUGGUAAGUUCGAUGUGAAAGCCCCGGGCUUAACCCGGGAAUGGCAUUGGAUACUACUGGUCUGGAGGAUCGGAGGGGGGACUGGAAUUCUUGGUGUAGCAGUGAAAUGCGUAGAUAUCAAGAGGAACACCAGUGGCGAAGGCGGGUCUCUGGGCCGUAACUGACGCUGAGGAGCGAAAGCAUGGGGAGCGAACAGG